GAUGCAAGACUCUCCAGCAAUCUUCCUCGGAUUGAUCUCUCAGUUUCGACCCUGCCUGUCCCCGACCUUCCUUCCUCGUUUCUGCCCUUGGAACUACCUCAGCCUUCUGUCCCUGACCAAGAGACUUGCCUGCUCCUCGUCUGUUUCCAGCCUGUUCCUCCACACAGCGGCUCUGCGCCACCUCGCCACCUUAGAAGCUGCACAGCAUUCCUGCUGAGGAGAUCCAGCAUCUCAAAAGACUUUGUGUUACCUGUAUCAUGUCUCCGGAGCACUAUUUGGAGCCAAUGCUGAGGCCCCUUGUCUCAGAGCAGGACAUUAGAGGGUCCAGAGAAAUCCCAUUAGUUUCUCACAGCUCAAGAUAUUCAGUUUGUGAUGCACAAGGACUUUUUCCAUAACAAUUCAUUUUUUACAUGAAAGAUGUCUGUAUCAAACUGCACAUAAGCUGGUUUGUGAUUCUCAGCUGGAACUUGUGUGUGUCCCAGAUAGUUUCUCUUGUGGAAAAAAGGAAGGAAGACUCUUAAGCUUUUGACAUAAUCCAGAGAACAUUCAUGAAUAAGCAAUCUGCUGUCAUAACAGCUUCAUUGUACAAUUAUAGAACACAGAUUUUAAACAGUAAGUUUGAGGAUUUGGGUUUCACAAAAUGGUUCAAUGUUGAGUUUUUUAAACUUUAUAUAAUUUUACUUCUUUAGACACAUGGGGGAAGGAAAGGUAAAGGAAAGAUGGUUGACCUGUUUUUAAGUAGCAGCGGAACAGAUUAAAUGACACUUGUGUUCUGAAACAA